CUUUCUUCGGCGGGAACUUUCUCAACGUUCAAGAAUCUUCUCCUCAGAUUUUCUAAAGAUUAAUUUCGACGAUAUAAUUAUUCAAGGUACAAAGUUUUUGCUGAUAUACAGUUCAACCAAUUAUAUAGAUUCUAUUUUUUGUAAAGUUUUAAAGUUUAAGGUUAUUUUAUUCAGAAAAAUACAGCAGACAAAAUUGUCAGGUUAUUUUCACUAGAGGAAAUGCUGAAAAGUCAAAAUGGGUAAAGAAAGGCAGUUUCUUCAGAUCCACAAUAACAUUAAAGCAAGGGAUCCAUCAGGCCACGAUUUACAAAGGAUCCUGUUUGGGAAUCCCUUUCUACAGAUUCUGAUGCCCUCCAGCACACCAUUACAGCGCAGCUGGUGCAUGACCAGAGGAUUCUCCAUCGCCCCGGGAGUCUUAGUCUCAUUUGGAAUCAGGCAACGCACAAAAUGAGGCUGCCAGCUACAUCUCUUGCUGUGACGAGGUGGAACAUUCCGAUCCACACUCUUCCCUGAGACGGAGGCGGCUCAUUCUCAGCUGUUUAGGCCCUCGGCUCACCAUAAGGUCAAUGACUUGACCCAUUGUGCAUCAUGACCAUUGAGCAGGCUAUUAAUGGAGACUGGGGAGGUCUGUUUGUUUGAUUUACUUCAACAAGUGUCCAGCUGGAUGUUCCAUGAUGCUUUGGAUCCUUUGAUUGAAUUGCUUGUCAUUUCUUCGUUAUCCCUUGCUCAAGAGCCAGCUGUAGGAUGGAAGCAGAGAAUGCAGCCACACAAACAUUGUGCUCCCUGCUGGAGAAGACUGAACACACUUUUGAAGUGCAGAUGAAGGAUCCUGUUGGGAAAUCCCUUUCUGCAGAUUCUGAUGCCCUCCAGCACACCGUUACAGCGCAGCUGGUGCAUGACCAGAGGAUUCUCCAUCGCCCCGGGAUUCUUAGUCUCAUUGGGGAUGAUGCAGCGCACAAAGUGAGGACUCCUCCUUUAUUCAACACGUCUGUCGGAGCCACUGCAUCACCUUGAGCAACAACGGGCAUUUGUCACAUCCGUCCUGCCCAAUGAGUAGUUCUGUACUGGACUGUUCACUUUUCUGAAACAUUCAUUUGGGACCAUUGGAAAAGAGUAAUGAAUUCAAAGAGACACCAGGUUUUGAUGGGAGAUGGGAGAACUUCAUUCCUCAUCAUGUCCUUUCUGUUCAAGGGAGAGAAAAAAAUGAUCCUGUUGGGGAAGCCCUUUCUGCAGAUUCUGAUGCCCUCCAGCACACCGUUACAGCGCAGCUGGUGCAUGACCAGAGGAUUCUCCAUCGCCCCGGGAGUCUUAGUCUCAUUGGGGAUGAUGCAGCGCAC